rnacentral:rRNA from 1 species
CAGCAGCCGCGGUAAUACGAAGGGUGCAAGCGUUAAUCGGAAUUACUGGGCGUAAAGCGUGCGUAGGCGGUGAGUUAAGUCUGCUGUGAAAUCCCCGGGCUCAACCUGGGAAUGGCAGUGGAUACUGGCUCGCUAGAGUGUGUCAGAGGAUGGUGGAAUUCCCGGUGUAGCGGUGAAAUGCGUAGAGAUCGGGAGGAACAUCAGUGGCGAAGGCGGCCAUCUGGGACAACACUGACGCUCAUGCACGAAAGCGUGGGGAGCAAACAGGAUUAGAUACCCGCGUAGUCCCUGUCUCUUAUAC